rnacentral:rRNA from 1 species
UACGUAGACCUCAAGCGUUAUCCGAAUUUAUUGGGCGUAAAGAGCAUGUAGGAGGUUGUGCGCGUCUUAUGUUAAAUCCCACCGCUCAACGGUGGAUCUGCAUGGGAUACGGCACGGCUAGAGGGGGUUAGAGGUGAGCAGAACGCACGGUGUAGGGGUGAAAUCCGUUGAUAUCGUGCGGAAUACCAAAGGCGAAGGCAGCUCACUGGGACCUUCCUGACUCUAAGAUGCGAAAGCGUGGGGAUCAAAAAGG